CGACCCCAGGUCAGGCAGGACUACCCGCUGAGUUUAAGCAGAUAAAUAAGCGGAGGAGAAGAAACUUACAAGGAUUCCCCUAGUAACGACGAGCGAACCGGGAGCAGCCCAGCUUGAGAAUCGGGCGGCUGUGCCAUCCGAAUUGUAGUCUGGAGAGGCGUCCUCAGCGACGGACCGGGCCAAAGUCCCCUGGAAAGGGGCGCCUGGGAGGGUGAGAGCCCCAUCCGGCCCGGACCCUGUCGCCCCACGAGGCGCCGUCAACGAGUCGGGUUGUUUGGGAAUGCAGCCUAAAUCGGGCGGUAGACUCCGUCCAAGGCUAAAUACAGGCGAGGGACCGAUAGCGAACAAGUACCGCGAGGGAAAGAUGAAAAGGACUUUGAAAAGAGAGUCAAAGAGUGCUUGAAAUUGCCGGGAGGGAAGCGGAUGGGGGCCGGCGAUGCGCCCCGCCCGUAUGCGGAACGGCUCUUGCUGGUCCGCCGCUCGGCUCGGGGUGUGGACUGUUGUCGGCCGCGCCGGCGGCCAAAGCCCGGGGGCCCUAGGUGCCCCCGGUGGCCGUCGUCGGCACGGCCGGUACCCGCGCGCCAAAAGUUGUGUCCCUCGGGGUACUGCACUGCAACGGCCUGCGGGCUCCCCAUCCGACCCGUCUUGACAUGCGUGCGAGUCGACGGGUUCUGAAACCUGGGAUGCGCAAGGAAGCUGACGAGCGGGAGGCCCUCACGGGCCGCACCGCUGGCCGACCCUGAUCUUCUGUGAAGGGUUCGAGUCGGAGGAAACUCUGGUGGAGGCUCGAAGCGUAACUAAUGUGCAAAUCGUUCGUCUGACUUGGGAGUAGGGGCGAAAGACUAAUCGAACCAUCUAGUAGCUGGUUCCCUCCGAAGUUUCGCUCAGGAUAGCUGGAGCCCAUUACGAGUUCUAUCAGGUAAAGCCAAUGAUUAGAGGCAUCGGGGACGCAACGUCCUCGACCUAUUCUCAAACUUUAAAUAGGUAGGAUGGCGCGGCUGCUUCGGUGAGCCGUGGCACGGAAUCGGGUGCUCCAAGUGGGCCAUUUUUGGUAAGCAGAACUGGCGAUGCGGGAUGAACCGGAAGCCGGGUUACGGUGCCCAACUGCGCGCUAACCUAGAACCCACAAAGGGUGUUGGUCGAUUAAGACAGCAGGACGGUGGUCAUGGAAGUUGAAAUCCGCUAAGGAGUGUGUAACAACUCACCUGCCGAAUCA
rnacentral:ncRNA from 1 species